rnacentral:rRNA from 1 species
UACGGAGGGUGCGAGCGUUAAUCGGAAUUACUGGGCGUAAAGCGCACGUAGGCGGUCAGGCAAGUCGGGUGUGAAAGCCCUGGGCUCAACCUGGGAAUUGCAUUCGAAACUAUCUGACUCGAGUAUGGGAGAGGGAAGCGGAAUUUCCGGUGUAGCGGUGAAAUGCGCAGAUAUCGGAAGGAACACCAGUGGCGAAGGCGGCUUCCUGGACUAAUACUGACGCUGAGGUGCGAAAGCGUGGGGAGCAAACAGG